rnacentral:miRNA from 12 species
AGCUCUGGCUGUCUUGUUUUUCUCCUCCUGUGUCAUGUUGCAGACAUGGCUGAGCAGGAGCUGUGGGUGGCUUUGUAGAUAGGGACAGUUCUUGG